rnacentral:rRNA from 1 species
GGUUAAGCGACUAAGCGUACACGGUGGAUGCCCUGGCAGUCAGAGGCGAUGAAGGGCGUGCUAAUCUGCGAUAAGCGCCGGUAAGGUGAUAUGAACCGUUAUAACCGGCGAUACCCGAAUGGGGAAACCCAGUGUGACUCGUCACACUAUCAUUAACUGAAUCCAUAGGUUAAUGAGGCGAACCGGGGGAACUGAAACAUCUAAGUACCCCGAGGAAAAGAAAUCAACCGAGAUUCCCCCAGUAGCGGCGAGCGAACGGGGAGGAGCCCAGAGCCUGAAUCAGCAUGUGUGUUAGUGGAAGCGUCUGGAAAGGCGCGCGAUACAGGGUGACAGCCCCGUACACAAAAGCGCAUGUGCUGUGAGCUCGAUGAGUAGGGCGGGACACGUGGUAUCCUGUCUGAAUAUGGGGGGACCAUCCUCCAAGGCUAAAUACUCCUGACUGACCGAUAGUGAACCAGUACCGUGAGGGAAAGGCGAAAAGAACCCCGGCGAGGGGAGUGAAAAAGAACCUGAAACCGUGUACGUACAAGCAGUGGGAGCACCCUUUGGGUGUGACUGCGUACCUUUUGUAUAAUGGGUCAGCGACUUAUAUUCUGUAGCAAGGUUAACCGAAUAGGGGAGCCGGAGGGAAACCGAGUCUUAAU